UACGUAGGGCGCAAGCGUUGUCCGGAAUUAUUGGGCGUAAAGAGCGUGUAGGCGGUUCGGUAGGUCCGUUGUGAAAACUCGAGCUCAACCUCGAGACGCCGAUGGAAACCCCCGAACUAGAGUCCGGAAGAGGAGAGUGGAAUUCCUGGUGUAGCGGUGAAAUGCGCAGAUAUCAGGAAGAACACCCGUGGCUAAGGCGGCUCUCUAGUACGGUACUGACGCUGAGACGCGAAAGCGUGGGGGAGCGAACAGG
rnacentral:rRNA from 1 species